UAUCAGGGGGGCACGCGUAUACGGGAGCUUACCGCGUUUAAGUGAGAAAGUUGUUGCAAAACUUCAAAGAUGGCGUCGUUUGUUGGAUUUUCUUAAAGGAAGGGAGGAUAUUUUCACCCGAUGAUGCAGGUUAAAGGGCGAAAAUAAGUGCAUCUUUCGUUGCAGUAUAUGUAAUGAGGAAUUUUACAUCAGGCGAUGAUUGAGAUAUCAUGCCCCAUUCAUGGACCACAUGAGUUUAAAUGUAGAAUAUGCAAGAAAGAAUCCUUCAACAGAGCCGGACUAAAACAGCAAAUAAAAAACACGAACAUAACAAAACAUGUACAGCUGAUGUUUGUAGUGUUUUUGUUUUAUUUAUAAAGUCUACAUAGACACGUCUGACAUAUAAUUGCUAUGAGUGCUUACACUUACUUACACGUUUUAUUCCGUUUAUGUCAUGAUGCUAGUUUCUCACGUUGUUAUGAAAAUAAACCAUUAUCUGUGUUA